rnacentral:lncRNA from 1 species
GAAUGUCAGUUAUUUCAUUGAAAAAAAAGUAGUAUCUCUAAAACAUCUUGUAUCAAAGAACUUCACCGCAAUUUCCUUUUCUUAUAGAUAUUAAAAAGCUCUUAGGUUUCAUUUAAUUUCUAUAAGAUAUUGAUGUCCAGACCACACAAGAAUAACUCAUGUCGAAAGGAUACAUCCGUAGUGCUGGAGAGAGUCAUCUGCUUGGCUUCGGAGUAUUAUCGUUUCAACGCUGCUGGCC